rnacentral:sRNA from 1 species
UAUUCUGCCCCAUGGGGAAGGAUGAGAAGCUUCGACUAAGGUUCGACUCGAGCGCCAGCGAGAGAACGUUGCCACAGGCAACGGCCCGAA